GCAGGGGUACCCAAGCGGUCAAAGGGGCGGGACUUAAGAUCCUGUGGCUUAGUGCCUUCGGGGGUUCGAAUCCUCCCUCCUGCA
rnacentral:tRNA from 1 species